AUAACUUCCCCAUCCACAUAAUUUUUCUUCUUCAAGAAAUUAACCCUAUUUUUUGCGUUUUCAUAAUCAAGUCAGCAAUUUUUUUCCUCAUCUUCAUGGUGUCUCAAUUUCAUUUUUUAAUUGAACUUUUGGAAAUCAAGAAGCAUGUUACUUAUAUAUUUUGGUAACCGAUUUAAAUUGAAGAAACUGCUCUUUUCAAAGCAUAAUUUUUCACAGUUUUACAAAAGUCCAUUCUUUUGCUUGGCAGUUGUCGAUGAGUUUUCUUUGAUUUACAUAAGAUUUUGGGUAUGGAAAUCAAAGUUCCUUUCUGGGUAUCACAAACAUUUAGUAGAUCUGCAAAAAUUUGACAUUGGAAGGUUGGUGUGUGCUGCAGAUGUGCAACUUAAAGGAAGAGGAGUUCAAAUAAUGUGUGCCAAUCCAAAAGAGGGGUUGCCUUUUGUUUUCAUUUUCAAAACAAGUGGAAGAUGGCAAAGUUGUGAAACAUUUCCCGUAUGCCAUCUGUCUUUUCCAUGUUAGAGGCCAUUAAAGUUAUGUGUUUGGAAAAGGUAAGUAUUUAUAUUACAAAUGUGUACUGACAUUCUAAAAUUGAAAUUAGAUUAGUGAAUGUAUGGAAAAAAUAGGAAUGAGAUUACUGUGAUGCAUGUACACAUUUCUUACAAUGAUCUACAGUUUUCUCACAUAUCUUUUUAUGUUGUAUAUUCUAGCUUUGAUGCCUGUGAAUAUUUUUAUGUUUGUUGCGGCAUUUGUGGAAGGUUGAAUUCAGGAUGCCUACACAUAUUUGCAGGUGACUGUAAUUGGGGGAGCCAUGAUUAUCACCUAGUGAAUUUAAAAUAUGAGUAACUUUAUACAUGAACUAGCAGAAGGAGGUUCGACACCUACUAUAUAUAUUUAAAAAGAAAAUUCGACCAUGAAUCAAUAUUGCUAAUUUUCUGUCCAGUGGGUUAGAAUGAGUCCAUUGGCUUACUAUAUUUUUUAAAUUCUAUUUGUUAUUGAUAUUUUUGUGUGCAUAUGUGUAUAAGUUGAUUUCAACGGAGGCUUUUAUCUUCUACUACCAUGAGAGUGUAUACUAUUUUUAAGUAAAUUUCAACUUUUAUGUGUCCUUUUUUCCUCAUGUACGAAGUAGUAGUUCACAUCAGAGCAAGUUAAAUGAUGCUAACUGAAUUACCAUACCGAGUUGAGGGAAGGAACCUUUUGACAGCCCUAGCAGGACCUGUAUCAGCACGGUCUUGUUCAGCAUUAAAGUCAGCUCAACAAAAAACAUAGCUUGGAUUACCUUCGGUAUAGAAAGCUCAAGUAAUCUUCAAUAGCCUUUUUGAUUGCUGGCAAGUGUUCAUCAAAAAUUCUAAGGGAAUAUAAUCUCCCUUUGAAAAUCUUUCUGGAAAGUAGGUAAUUGGAAUUCAAGAAAAUGGAGAGAUACCAAAAAAUCAAUAGGAUAUGAAGGAAGAAAAUGUCGGCAGAGAAAUAAGUUAGAAUGGAUGAACCAUAAGUUCAUUGAAAAAGAUUUAAAAGACUUUGAUAAAAUAAUUCCUGUAUUCAUUUUAAUCCUGUUUUUCUUUAAAAUUUUAUAAUGUAAAUACUUCUUAUAAUUCACUAUUUU